UCAGGGAAUAACCGGAUAAGUUGGUAAAUUGUUGGCCCCAAUGAAGCUGAUGAUGGAAAUUCUUCUACUUCUACCCCCCUCUUGAUACUCCAGGGAUAAAAUUAUCUCAAGUCUCACUAACUAACCUGUUGUCCUUAAAAAAAUGGAAAAAAAAAAAUAGAAAUUAGAAAAGAGAAAUCAAAGAAAGAGGAAACUUUUUAUGCCGCAUUGGAAAACUGGAAAACUUUUUUGCCGUAAUUGCCCAGAAAAGUAACACAAAUGAAACGCAUCGACGCUUAAUUACUUUUCCUAAAUGGCACGAGUAUUGGUUAAGUCAGUUUAAAGCAUAAAUUCUAGUGUUGAUCAACAGAAAGUAAAGAAAAUACUUAUUUAAUAAUAAAACAAACUUCCUCAUUAAAGAAAAAGAAAUAAUCCUCUUCCAAAUACUUUUAGUGUUAGUCAACGCAUUUCCCAUGACAAAGAGUAGUGUGCUUGCAAUAUUUAUGAGGAAACUGAACCACCUUGACUGCAUUCAAGUGGUUGAAGCCUUCGGAGUGGCCUGGUGGUCCAAUGGUGGUAUUAAAAAUUCAUUGGCCACCUCGUUUAUUGUAGUUCCUUCCUGCGUUUGGUUUCGUUUAUGUGAGCAUCUAGCAUCCAGCAAGGAUUCUACUUUAUUCCUAGAGACACACACACACCAACACACACUUUUCAUUAACCUCACAAAG